AGCUUUUCACAGUGGCGGUAUCAUAGCCAAUGUGGUUUAUUUGAGGUGCAAUUAUUGUUAAUUAAAAAUUUUUCUCAAUACCCCACUGUGACAACUUGAAGUACAGUUGGCACUGGCAAUUUCUGACAGUCUCUACAGAGG